rnacentral:lncRNA from 1 species
UGUGUGUGCUGUUACCUUGUUUUUUUUUGGUCUUUUUAAUCCUUUUUUGUAUUUUUUUAUACUUUUUUAGUAAUUGUUUUUUACAGGGCUGAGGACCGAAAAAAAAAAAAACUUAAAUAAUAUGUAACAAUUCAAUGUCAGCAGAACUUACUCUGCACAGGCUCUAGCACGCAGUGGGCACUCGACAAACAGUCGUUGAAUGGUCAAAUGAGAAGGCAGUGUGGGUCACCUCCGGGCCUUGGGAGGUGAGCCGGCCAGAGACCCAGCGCCAGCGCUGGCCACAGCAUCGGCCACAGCAUCGGCCACGGAGGCCUUUCAGGGCAUCUCCACAGGGAGGCUAGCCAGGGAGAAUGUGGUUCCCCCUCCCCUGGUCCUGCAGCCCCUGGUCUGGGUGCCUGGGUCCUGCCCGCCCAAGCUUGGCCUCCGCGUCCCCACAGAGGGGUUGGAAAGCGUGACAUCUAAGGGACACCGCAACGAAGCCACGCAGGCGCCGCCUUGGGUGUCUAGCUCAGCAACUCGGCUGUGGAAAUGUUCGCGAGCAGAUGAAGCUUUGAUUUUUAAACUUAACGAAACGUGGUUCCUCCCAGCAAACUCACAUCAGUACCCGGUGCUCAGCGCCUCCCGUUUACCUUGAGAGCGCGUCUGGAGGUUCCAGCGGAGAACACGGCUCCUCUGUACCCCUGACCCAAGGACCACUGGGAGUUGGCAACCGGGAGAACCUGGCAGCCAAGAAAUAUUUUUGCAAAUUAAUAAACAUUCUAAAUGGA